rnacentral:rRNA from 1 species
UACGUAGGGGGCAAGCGUUGUCCGGAAUUAUUGGGCGUAAAGCGCGCGCAGGCGGUCAAUUAAGUCUGGUGUAUAAACCAAGGGCUCAACCUUUGGACGCAUUGGAAACUGGUUGACUGGAGUGUAGGAGAGGAAAGUGGAAUUCCACGUGUAGCGGUGAAAUGCGCAGAUAUCAGGAGGAACACCGGUGGCGAAGGCGGCGACCUGGUUCGAUACUGACGCUGAGGCGCGAAAGCGUGGGGAGCAAACAGG